rnacentral:rRNA from 1 species
AGUGGGGGAUAACGUAGCGAAAGUUACGCUAAUACCGCAUAUGCCCUGAGGGGGAAAGGGGGGGAUCGCAAGACCUCUCGCUUUCGGAGUGGCCGAUAUCGGAUUAGCUAGUAGGUGAGGUAAAGGCUCACCUAGGCGACGAUCCGUAGCUGGUCUGAGAGGACGACCAGCCACACUGGGACUGAGACACGGCCCAGACUCCUACGGGAGGCAGCAGUGGGGAAUUUUGGACAAUGGGCGCAAGCCUGAUCCAGCCAUGCCGCGUGAGUGAAGAAGGCCUUCGGGUUGUAAAGCUCUUUCAGCUGGAAAGAAAUCGUAUCUAUUAAUACUAGGUGCGGAUGACGGUACCAGCAGAAGAAGCACCGGCUAACUACGUGCCAGCAGCCGCGGUAAUACGUAGGGUGCGAGCGUUAAUCGGAAUUACUGGGCGUAAAGCGUGCGCAGGCGGCUUUUUAAGCCAGAUGUGAAAUCCCCGGGCUUAACCUGGGAACUGCAUUUGGAACUGGAAGGCUAGAGUGUAGCAGAGGGGGGUAGAAUUCCA